rnacentral:rRNA from 1 species
UACGUAGGGUGCAAGCGUUAAUCGGAAUUACUGGGCGUAAAGUGUGCGCAGGUGGCCGCACAUGUCGAGUGUGAAAUCCCCGGGCUUAACUUGGGAAUUGCGCUCGAAACUACGUGGCUCGAGUGUGGCAGAGGAAGGUGGAAUUCCACGUGUAGCGGUGAAAUGCGUAGGAGAAUGUGGAGGAACACCGAUGGCGGAAAGGGACAGCCCUUCGUGGGCGAACCACAUGGAC